rnacentral:lncRNA from 9 species
AUGCAGCUGGAAUUUCAGGUGUGUCACCCUGGAGCUGAGGCCUCCAGAUGGACUCGUAGAAGGGAGAUGUGUAAGGCUCCAUCCCUCAGCAGCCCACGAUCUCUGAAGGUUUGCCACUGUGGCCAAUGUUUUAUGGAAGCUUCUGAGGCCGUAGAGCAGAGGGAAGUUCUGAGCACACGGAGGACAAGCCAGGGUGGUGCUGUGUGGCCGCAAACAACCCUAAGUAGGGGAUACGUGUGGGGGACAGGCUCUAACACCUUGAUUCCUUAUGUCUGUGUCUCUGCAGUAUGUUUCAUGGAGAGUCUGAGUGACAGCAACCAUGAUGAAAGUGAUACAGACUCAGUGGUGGAGAGCCUGAGCAGCCGCCAGGAUGAGGAGGCUGCAGCAACCCUCGAUGAUGUUGUGGAGGCCGGCGGGAGUGAGAAGACGGAGGAAGAGGCCCUGGCUGGGGCAAAUGAGGAGGAGGUGGGGCCGGGAACUGAGAAGGUGCAGGAGGAGGCUGCCUGCAUUGACGAGGCAGAGGAGGAGGCAGGCCCAUCCCUUGAAAAUGACGAGGAGUCCCCAGCCAGCGACCUGGUUGAGCAGGAAGACCAGCUUGCCCCCAAGGUGGACGGGAUGGACGAUGAAAGCCUAUGUUUCAUGGAGAGUCUGAGUGACAGCAACCAUGAUGAAAGUGAUACAGACUCAGUGGUGGAGAGCCUGAGCAGCCGCCAGGAUGAGGAGGCUGCAGACUCCUCUGGGACACCUUGAAGCCUCAGCCUGGGACUGGAAGAGUCCAAAAGUUUCCAUCUUGACCAGGAUACAAGAUUGACCUCACUCUUCAUCUAUUACGAGCCAACUUUAGUAUAAGCUUAGUUCUUUAUUGUCUAGAUUUAGUAUUAAGUUCUGAUACAUGUUUACUACUUGGUAUAUAAGAUUUUGGUAGAAUGUAAGAUUGUGUAUUAAAUAAUUGUUACCUAUCCAUUUGCUUUUUUUAAAACUAGUUUUCGAUAAAAUAAACACAGGUAUAGGAAAGCCCCCUUAAGCAGAGGUAGAACUUAAUGCACUGGAGUCAGGCAGUCACCCUAGUGUCCACCCCCUGUCCUGUCACCCGCAUCAGUCCUGACUGAAGAAGGGGACUGUGGAUUUAGUCCUGACCAACUGCCCUCAAGCCAGUUUCUUUCCAAGGAUUCUGUGGCCUCAUGUCGGUUUGUACCUUUGACCAUGGGAACUCUGUCACGCUCCCUCUUUCAGGAUGACAUGGUUGGCCGAGCCUUGCAUGCCCAGACCCUGGCUGCUGGAACAUCCAUAUCUCACCUUUUCCCUCCUCAUGUCUCUGACAUGUUUCUUUAUAUCCCAUGCCUGGAGUUGGUAUUUUUAAAACAUGUAGAGUGACACCGAAUGAGACACAGAUAAAAACUGUAAAAGUAAUUUUAAUAAAGUACACUUUGAUUGCAAAG